rfam:Ictidomys tridecemlineatus contig051194, whole genome shotgun sequence.
AGGGUUGUGGCUCAGUGGUAGAGCGCUUGCUGAGCAAGCAUGAGGCACUGGGUUCCAUCCCAGCACCACAU